GACGUAGGGGGCCAGCGUUGUUCGGAAUUACUGGGUGUAAAGGGUUCGUAGGCGGUGUGGCAAGUUGGGAGUGAAAUCUCUGGGCCCAACCCAGAGGCUGCUUCCAAAACUGCCGUGCUAGAGUGUGAGAGAGGCGAGUGGAAUUGCGGGUGUAGCGGUGAAAUGCGUAGAUAUCCGCAGGAACAUCCGAGGCGAAAGCGGCUCGCUGGAUCACAACUGACGCUGAGGGACGAAAGCUAGGGGAGCAAACAGG
rnacentral:rRNA from 1 species